GACUUCCCAACUGUGCAAGAUCCUAUCCAAAACUCCACAGAAAAGAGAGAAUACUUUUAACUAGAAGAAUCCCACUUGUUUGUUCCCUUGCAUUCCACAGUCAAUGAGAGUGAGGAAGUAGAUGUAAAGAGUCAGAUACUCCACUGCCGCCCAUGCUCAUACUUCCAUCCCUUCUAUGGUAAGAUGGUGGUGGUUAAAUUAUAGAUCAGAUUGCUUUACAGCCCCCAUUGCUCUGCCC